rnacentral:rRNA from 1 species
ACAGGCCUACGGGACGCAGCAGUGGGGAAUAUUGGUCAAUGGGCGGGAGCCUGAACCAGCCAAGCCGCGUGAAGGAAGAAGGCGCCAAGCGUCGUAAACUUCUUUUGUCGGGGAACAAAGGGCGCCACGUGUGGCGUUGUGAGUGUACCCGAAGAAAAAGCAUCGGCUAACUCCGUGCCAGCAGCCGCGGUAAUACGGAGGAUGCGAGCGUUAUCCGGAUUUAUUGGGUUUAAAGGGUGCGUAGGCGCGCCGGAAAGUCAGCGGUAAAAGCCCGGGGCUCAACCCCGGCGAGCC